rnacentral:rRNA from 1 species
GAUGAACGCUAGCGGCAGGCUUAAUACAUGCAAGUCGAGGGGCAGCAUGUCCCGCAGCAAUGCGGGAUGAUGGCGACCGGCAAACGGGUGCGGAACACGUACACAACCUUCCUUUAAGCGGGGAAUAGCCCAGAGAAAUUUGGAUUAAUACCCCAUAGAAUAGUUGGAUGGCAUCAUUUGACUAUUAAAGAUUUAUCACU